rnacentral:tRNA from 2 species
GCGGGCGUAGUUUAAUGGUAGAACAUCAGCUUCCCAAGCUGAAUACGAGGGUUCGAUUCCCUUCGCCCGCUCCA